rnacentral:lncRNA from 1 species
AGAAUUAAGACACUGAGUGGGAAGAGAGAUACAAAUAUGUCCAUAGAAAUAUGGAAGGUUUUAAGCCAGAAAAUCCUUAAAUGAAGGUCUGUAGCAGUAUCUCUCCAGAUAUUUAAAAAUACAAUGAUCACCAAAAUAUGCUAUAAAUGUUUAAAAUGGACUCCUAUCGAAAGUUCAGAGGUUAAAGAUGAUGUUGUUUAUGGUACUCCUAGAAAUUGAUUCUUCUUUAUUUUUUCUUUUCGUUGAGUUUAAUUGCCACUAGAAUUAUUUUCAAGUUAAGAAGAUAAGAGGAUUGACUUUUUAAACUUCAAAAUGAACUUCCCUGCUGUGACUGACUAUAUUCCCCAGUAUGGAGAAUUAUGAGGAACCUGUUGAACAGAAAAGUCUCUGACCAUAAUCAAGGUCACACAGUCAGAAGGCAUCCCAGCAGACACUCCACACUAGCCAAUGUGGAUUCAGAGACUGCACCCUUGAUUACUGUGUUGUUUGAUGAUACUAGUGUUUAAAAACAUCUGAGGAAGAUAGAAAACAUUUUAUCUUUCAAGAUAAAAAAAGAAAAGCUCUUUGCCAACAGAAAACAUAAUAUGCGGACUCUAUGGCUAUUGUUUCUGAAAAAUAUAAGAGAUGAUUACAUCACAUUGUGUAUUCUGUAGGAAAAACACUGUAAUGCUUAUAUGGCUAAUAAUGGAAUGAUCUAAGUCAAUAUAUUGUGCAGUUUUGAGUGACAGAAGAAUUACACCAUUAUUCUUUGUAUUUUGGUUUCUGCACUAAGUUAGUCAUGUUCACUGUUUCAUCAUCAAUUAUCAUUCACUCAUUUUAUAAAAUUUUAGCAUCUGCAUUUAAUGUUACUGUAUGGUUUCUGUUUACUACAGCUGGUUGCAAUAGACACAGAUGACAAUUUCAGAGCUGUGUAUAAAAGGUCACAAAAAGUAAACAUUCAAAACAGAAACAUCUUACUUCCAGAAAGUAUAAAAUUGACGUAUGAGUAAGAUGUCAAAAGUUAUGAAAACUGGAAUGUGUUCAUCUCAUUACAUGUAAAUGCAUCUAUUUGAAAAAUGUGUU